AUAAAAGGGGCUUCAGUCGCAAGGGACACAAACUCAUUGACAUGUCCGGUGUCCCCCACCCACCACCACCACCGUCCGUCAAACCUCCCACGAGGCAUCUCGAUCUCCUUUUAGCCUCGCCUAUCAGCAGGCCGAGUGCCGCUGUCACCAGAUCCCCUCGAGCCCCUCGAGGUUCCACGGGAAUGGCAUGUGAACCCAAUUGGCAGCUUAACGGACGCAGAGCACUACAAACGAGAGGCUCUCUGUGGUCAUUUCGCCGACAACCUCCCCAAAGAACGUCCUCCUGCCUCGGAAUGUUUGGUGUGGGUCGGACACCCCGCGAGAAAAGACAGUGUCUUGACUGUGACCCUCGCCGGCUGCCAGUUGGCAAGCAACAUCCUGGCCAGGUGCCAUGCGAACCCGACGCCUCAGGCAACGUGCAGCUCGCCUCGUUCGCUGCGGCAGAAUGGAAAGCAAACGAGGCUCCUCCUACACGCCCAUCUGCUCUACAACAGCGCCCGCCAGCGGCUGAAUGGAAGCAUUGAUUCAUUCGGAAAAAAAAGCUAAACGGACCCAAACACAAAUACUGCCUGUUCACCAUUUUGUAGUGCUAUUUAUACGUCUAAGGAUUAAAUAAUCACUCGGUCUGGGACUUUUUACCCUAAGUACCACCUUAAAAAAAUAUUUAGUUUUCCAGUAAAUAUUAACAACUGUCAACAAUUCUAAUACUCAUAUCAAAAAAAUAAUUAAUUUUACUGAAUGCCUUCAUUGAUCAAACUAUAUGAAACUAACUGAGAAAAAUAUGUCCAGUCACUAAUUAUCUUUGCUGCCUUAUAGUUAAACGAAUCACUCUUUGUCAUGUACCUUCUUAUAAAUUAGACCAAACACGGCAAAAUUAGGCUUGAACUCUGGUCAGGUCAUGUUAAUAUUGUAAGCAAAAGCCUGCCUGUGGCUUCAUCAAAGUCGGAUUGGCGGUGACCCGGCAAGGGGAAAUUAGGGGAGAUGGGGUGCUACUUAAUCGAAUCAGACCACAUGAGUGGCGCACAACCAUUGGAGAGUGCCUUCCACCGCAGCUGUGGGCCUCUACGUGAGCUUCUGCAGGAGCGCCAGCCAAAAAAAUCCCUCCCUUGUACCAUUCCGUCAGUUUUCUCCCCUUGUGUGCACCCACAAAAAGACUCUUGACUGUGCCCGCUCUUUUCAGUGAAAUCUGUCCUCGCAACUUUCCCACGUUGCCAUCCGCUAGUCACAUUCAGACGCGUCAGCAGAACACAAUAUGUGAGACGUCAGAUGUGACCUGAUAUUUUCAUUUGCAUACUGCCCAGUGAUGGCAAGAAACUAAAGUGGGGUGGGACCCGAUUACAAAGAGUAAUCUAAUUAAUUAAAGGCUUUGUAAUCAAUAAGUAUUGAUUGAUCAUAUACUUAUCACAUAAGUUAUGUUAGAAUUAAUUUUAGUUAACGACUUAUUCGACACAGACAGGGGGGUAAAAAAAAAAAAAAAAAAAAAAAAAAAAAAAAAGAGACUUACCAGUGUAAGGCUGGAAGUUACUUGGUUCAGGCCUCCUGGCAUCCACACGAAUGAGGGUCACGGACACAUUGUAGCUUUGAUGAUAUCUGAGUUGUUGGCAGUCAGUCAUUGAAUAAAGAUGUAUUCAUUACUUGUGCCACAACA